UACGUAGGGUGCAAGCGUUAAUCGGAAUUACUGGGCGUAAAGCGUGCGCAGGCGGUUUUGUAAGUCUGUCGUGAAAUCCCCGGGCUCAACCUGGGAAUUGCGAUGGAGACUGCAAGGCUAGAAUCUGGCAGAGGGGGGGUAGAAUUCCACGUGUAGCAGUGAAAUGCGUAGAGAUGUGGAGGAAUACCGAUGGCGAAGGCAGCCCCCUGGGCCAAUACUGACGCUCAUGCCACGAAAGCGUGGGGAGCAAACAGGG
rnacentral:rRNA from 1 species